rnacentral:rRNA from 3 species
GGACCAAGGAGUCUAGCAUGUGCGCGAGUCAUUGGGAUUUUUACUAAACCUAAAGGCGUAAUGAAAGUGAAGGUCCGCCUUGCGCGGACCGAGGGAGGAUGGACCGUUCCGAGGGACGGCCUCGCACUCCCGGGGCGUCUCGCUCUCAUCGCGAGAAGAGGCGCACCCAGAGCGUACACGCUGGGACCCGAAAGAUGGUGAACUAUGCCUGGUCAGGACGAAGUCAGGGGAAACCCUGAUGGAGGUCCGUAGCGAUUCUGACGUGCAAAUCGAUCGUCGGAACUGGGUAUAGGGGCGAAAGACUAAUCGAACCAUCUAGUAGCUGGUUCCCUCCGAAGUUUCCCUCAGGAUAGCUGGCGCUCGCUUCUCGCGAGUCUCAUUCGGUAAAGCGAAUGAUUAGAGGCAUUGGGGUCGAAACGGCCUCAACCUAUUCUCAAACUUUAAAUGGGUGAGAUCUCCGGCUUGCUUGAACUGUGAAGCCGCGAGAUAUCGGAUCAGAGUGCCAAGUGGGCCACUUUUGGUAAGCAGAACUGGCGCUGUGGGAUGAACCAAACGCCGAGUUAAAGCGCCUAAAUCGACGCUUAUGGGAUACCAUGAAAGGCGUUGGUAACUUAAGACAGCAGGACGGUGGCCAUGGAAGUCGGA